rnacentral:rRNA from 1 species
CCUACGGGUGGCACCAGUGAGGAAUUUUGGUCAAUGGACGGAAGUCUGAACCAGCCAAGUCGCGUGAAGGAAGGCGGCCCUAAGGGUUGUAAACUUCUUUUGUAAGGGAAUAAAGGUCGGUACGUGUUACCGGUUUGCAAGUACCUUACGAAUAAGGAUCGGCUAACUCCGUGCCAGCAGCCGCGGUAAUACGGAGGAUCCGAGCGUUAUCCGGAUUUAUUGGGUUUAAAGGGUGCGCAGGCGGGGGAUUAGGUCGGCGGUGAAAUAUCAGGGCUCAACCUUGAGAGUGCCGUCGAAACCGGUUUUCUUGAGUGCGGAUGAAGUAGGCGGAAUUUGUGGUGUAGCGGUGAAAUGCGUAGAUAUCACAAGGAACACCGAUUGCGGAGGCAGCUUACUAAACCGCAACUGACGCUCAUGCACGAAGGCGUGGGGAUCAAACAGGAUUAGAUACCCUAGUAGUC